GUACUACUGAAGAGUCCCAAACUGGGACGAAACAGUUGUCCAGUAC
rnacentral:hammerhead_ribozyme from 1 species